GGCGAGAUGGCCGAGUGGUCUAAGGCGCUGUGUUCAGGUUAUCAAUGUCGUUGUUGCUCUCCGCAGUCUUCGGACGUGGGUUCGAAUCCCACUCUCGUCA